CUUCCUCUGUCUCUCUCGCCCUGGGUUCCGUGCCCCUGGAUCACCAGCUGCCAUGUCCUGAGGACACUUGGGCAGCCUGUGGGGAGAUCUACAUGACAAAGAAACAAGACCUGCCAGCAACCACGUUCUGCAUCAUUUGGACCAUGGGCACUUGGUGGGUGAUGAACCCCUUCACCUCAGAGCACGGCCAGCAGGCAGCGCGAGCUUGAUGUCAGCAAUCAGCCGAUGUUAAGGGAAAGACUGAAUUCUGCACAGAGAGAAGAUUUAGAGCUGGGAUGGCACAUGAAGAUUUGAUGAAGACUAGAGUUGACUAUGCCACAUGGGAAAUUAUUCGUGUGUAAAAUGGAAUCCACUCCGAUGACACCUUGAUGCUGAGGGAUCCUAGGGCAACGUUGAAGUGGGCCCCAAACAUUGGGUUGAGCACCAAGAGCAAAAAUUACACAUACAGCCAUUUGAAUAUGGAGAUCGUAUAUUAACAUGCAGCCGGAGUACACUACCUUUCAAACUCAACAAGCC
rnacentral:lncRNA from 1 species